AACAACCCCAAAUUUAGCCAAGCCAAGUAAGACAAAAAGAAAGUUCCGCGUUUUUGCAUUCUAGGGUUAGGGUUUUUUAACUGAAAAAACCACUGGCUCUGUGUUUUUUUUUUUCGCCGGAAAAACACUCCAGGCUGAUUUCCCGACGAUUUCGUCGGAAUCAGAUGGGGCAAUGUGUCUCACGGCGCCGGAAAACAAAUAAGUGGGAUAAUGAGGAUUCCAGGCCUCUGGAGACGGGGUGUCUCGCCAUAGCCAAGGAGCAGAGGUCGAGGCUCUAUAUUGUAAGAAGAUGCAUUGUAAUGCUUCUUUGUUGGCAAAAAUAUGGGAGAUACUGAUUGUUCAAGAGCUUGUCUAUGGCUUUUCCGGUGAGUUCUUCGGAUUUCAGGUAAGGGGUUUAUGCAAAUGAAGGUUUUGUUCUCAUAAUUCCCCUUAGUUGUGUAUCAUGAGGCUUCGAUGAUCAUUUCAAUGGGCAAAUUCAAUAGAAAUACAGAGAGAUUGAAUGCGUUCAUCAUUCAUUUGAAACCGAACUCGAGCCGUGGAGGCGACCAUGCAGGGUUAUGAGGUCUUUGGUUUUUACCUUUGUAAAGAAAAUAUAUGGAAUUUUAGAGAAAAUAGAGAUGAUUUAUUUUGCUAUGUGAAUAAAUUCAUGUACAAAAAGAGA
rnacentral:lncRNA from 1 species